rnacentral:rRNA from 1 species
ACGUAGGGAGCGAGCGUUGUCCGAAUUCACUGGGCGUAAAGCGCGCGUAGGCGGGUUAUUAAGUUGGUGGUGAAAUCCCGGAGCUCAACUUCGGAACUGCCGUCAAAACUGGUAGCCUUGAGGUAUGGAGAGGGAAUUGGAAUUCCUGGUGUAGCGGUGAAAUGCGUAGAUAUCAGGAGGAACACCCAUGGCGAAGGCAGAUUCCUGGCCAUAUCCUGACGCUGAGGUGCGAAAGCCAGGGUAGCGAACGG